AGUCGAGCGCUACCUUCGGGUGGAGCGGCGGACGGGUUAGUAACGCGUGGGAAUAUACCCAGUUCUAAGGAAUAGCCACUGGAAACGGUGAGUAAUACCUUAUACGCCCUUCGGGGGAAAGAUUUAUCGGAAUUGGAUUAGCCCGCGUUAGAUUAGAUAGUUGGUGGGGUAAUGGCCUACCAAGUCUACGAUCUAUAGCUGGUUUGAGAGGAUGAUCAGCAACACUGGUACUGAGACACGGCCCAGACUCCUACGGGAGGCAGCAGUGGGGAAUCUUAGACAAUGGGCGCAAGCCUGAUCUAGCCAUGCCGCGUGAGUGAUGAAGGCCCUAGGGUCGUAAAGCUCUUUCAACUGUGAAGAUAAUGACGGUAGCAGUAGAAGAAACCCCGGCUAACUCCGUGCCAGCAGCCGCGGUAAUACGGAGGGGGUUAGCGUUGUUCGGAAUUACUGGGCGUAAAGCGUACGUAGGCGGAUUAAUAAGUUAGAGGUGAAAUCCCAGGGCUCAACCCUGGAACUGCCUUUAAAACUGUUAGUCUUGAGAUCGAGAGAGGUGAGUGGAAUUCCAAGUGUAGAGGUGAAAUUCGUA
rnacentral:rRNA from 1 species